GUAUCGAGCGGCUUUACGAGAGUGCUGACCAGCCGCGUGUUGUCCGGGCAAGUGCCAUACCUCGGGGGUGUAGCCGAGACUAGCUUUUACGUGGAGGGUCUCAGGUUUCCGGACAAGGACUUUGACGGGCUCAUCACUAUCAACCUUAGUCUGCUGGAGCCCAUCUGUAGAGGUCUUCCCGAGACCCCCAUUUUCACAGACACCGUUGUGUUCAGAGUGGCACCGUGGAUCAUGACUCCAAACACCCUGCGGCCUGUUGAGGUGUUUGUGUGCAGG